rnacentral:rRNA from 1 species
AUUGAACGCUGGCGGCAUGCUUUACACAUGCAAGUCGAACGGUAACGCGGGGCAACCUGGCGACGAGUGGCGAACGGGUGAGUAAUGUAUCGGAACGUGCCCAAUAGUGGGGGAUAGCCCGGCGAAAGCCGGAUUAAUACCGCAUGAGACCUGAGGGUGAAAGCGGGGGAUCGCAAGACCUCGCGCUGUUGGAGCGGCCGAUAUCAGAUUAGGUAGUUGGUGGGGUAAAGGCCUACCAAGCCUGCGAUCUGUAGCUGGUCUGAGAGGAUGACCAGCCACACUGGGACUGAGACACGGCCCAGACUCCUACGGGAGGCAGCAGUGGGGAAUUUUGGACAAUGGGCGCAAGCCUGAUCCAGCCAUGCCGCGUGCGGGAAGAAGGCCUUCGGGUUGUAAACCGCUUUUGUCAGGGAAGAAAUCUUCUGGGUUAAUACCUCGGGAGGAUGACGGUACCUGAAGAAUAAGCACCGGUUAACUACGUGCCAGCCGCCGCAGUAA